rnacentral:rRNA from 1 species
GUUGUUGGGUAGGGGAGCGUUCUGUAAGCCUGUGAAGGUGCCUGUGAGGGUUGCUGGAGGUAUCAGAAGUGCGAAUGCUGACAUAAGUAACGAUAAAGCGGGUGAAAAGCCCGCUCGCCGGAAGACCAAGGGUUCCUGUCCAACGUUAAUCGGGGCAGGGUGAGUCGACCCCUAAGGCGAGGCCGAAAGGCGUAGUCGAUGGGAAACGGGUUAAUAUUCCCGUACUUGGUGUUACUGCGAAGGGGGGACGGAGAAGGCUAUGUUGGCCGGGCGACGGUUGUCCCGGUUUAAGCGUGUAGGUGUGUGUUCCAGGUAAAUCCGGUUCACUUUAACACUGAGGCGUGACGACGAGGCACUACGGUGCUGAAGCAACAAAUGCCCUGCUUCCAGGAAAAGCCUCUAAGCAUCAGGUAACAUCAAAUCGUACCCCAAACCGACACAGGUGGUCAGGUAGAGAAUACCAAGGCGCUUGAGAGAACUCGGGUGAAGGAACUAGGCAAAAUGGUGCCGUAACUUCGGGAGAAGGCACGCUGACACGUAGGUGAAGUGAUUUACUCAUGGAGCUGAAGUCAGUCGAAGAUACCAGCUGGCUGCAACUGUUUAUUAAAAACACAGCACUGUGCAAACACGAAAGUGGACGUAUACGGUGUGACGCCUGCCCGGUGCCGGAAGGUUAAUUGAUGGGGUCAGCGCAAGCGAAGCUCCUGAUCGAAGCCCCGGUAAACGGCGGCCGUAACUAUAACGGUCCUAAGGUAGCGAAAUUCCUUGUCGGGUAAGUUCCGACCUGCACGAAUGGCGUAAUGAUGGCCAGGCUGUCUCCACCCGAGACUCAGUGAAAUUGAACUCGCUGUGAAGAUGCAGUGUACCCGCGGCAAGACGGAAAGACCCCGUGAACCUUUACUAUAGCUUGACACUGAACAUUGAGCCUUGAUGUGUAGGAUAGGUGGGAGGCUUUGAAGUGUGGACGCCAGUCUGCAUGGAGCCGACCUUGAAAUACCACCCUUUAAUGUUUGAUGUUCUAACGUGGACCCGUUACCCGGGUUGCGGACAGUGUCUGGUGGGUAGUUUGACUGGGGCGGUCUCCUCCUAAAGAGUAACGGAGGAGCACGAAGGUUGGCUAAUCCUGGUCGGACAUCAGGAGGUUAGUGCAAUGGCAUAAGCCAGCUUGACUGCGAGCGUGACGGCGCGAGCAGGUGCGAAAGCAGGUCAUAGUGAUCCGGUGGUUCUGAAUGGAAGGGCCAUCGCUCAACGGAUAAAAGGUACUCCGGGGAUAACAGGCUGAUACCGCCCAAGAGUUCAUAUCGACGGCGGUGUUUGGCACCUCGAUGUCGGCUCAUCACAUCCUGGGGCUGAAGUAGGUCCCAAGGGUAUGGCUGUUCGCCAUUUAAAGUGGUACGCGAGCUGGGUUUAGAACGUCGUGAGACAGUUCGGUCCCUAUCUGCCGUGGGCGCUGGAGAACUGAGGGGGGCUGCUCCUAGUACGAGAGGACCGGAGUGGACGCAUCACUGGUGUUCGGGUUGUCAUGCCAAUGGCACUGCCCGGUAGCUAAAUGCGGAAGAGAUAAGUGCUGAAAGCAUCUAAGCACGAAACUUGCCCCGAGAUGAGUUCUCCCUGAGACUUAGAGUCUCCUGAAGGAACGUUGAAGACGACGACGUUGAUAGGCCGGGUGUGUAAGCGCAGCGAUGCGUUGAGCUAACCGGUACUAAUGAACCGUGAGGCUUAACCUUAC